rnacentral:rRNA from 1 species
GUGGACCUACGGGAGGCAGCAGUGAGGAUUAUUGGUCAAUGGGCGAGAGCCUGAACCAGCCACGCCGCGUGAGGGAAGACGGUCCUAUGGAUUGUAAACCUCUUUUGCCGGGGAGCAAAAAGCGGUACGUGUACCGCAUCGAGAGUACCCGGAGAAAAAGCAUCGGCUAACUCCGUGCCAGCAGCCGCGGUAAUACGGAGGAUGCGAGCGUUAUCCGGAUUUAUUGGGUUUAAAGGGUGCGCAGGCGGACCAUCAAGUCAGCGGUAAAAUCGUGGGGCCCAACCCCAUCCCGCCGUUGAAACUGG